GGUUUCUCACCAGUGUGAAUCCUUUUAUGUCUGUUCAGAUUGGUUUGGUAAGUAAAGGCUUUCCCACAGGUCUCGCAAACAAAUGGUUUCUCAUCUGUGUGCACCAUUUCAUGUGCACGAAGAUCACUUAGUGAAGGAAAAGCUUGACCACAGGUUGAAGAAACGAAUGGUUCCUCGCUCUGCUUCAACCAAUCAUGGCCGAGGUUGCUGGCUACUUGUCUGGAGUACUGGUCCACCAUAAUCCCACUGGCUA